CUUGCGGGCAUUUUCCUUUUAAGGUGUUUUUCAGAUCACAUAGGUUGGGGACUGUUACUGUUAUAGUUAGCGCCUAAAGCAGGGAGUCUUAUUUAGACUGACCCACUGUAUAUCGUGGUGCCAGAACGCGCAGAGCAAGGUGGACCUGUUUUCUGCAGAUAGGGUGUGUGUGUAUCGGUGCCUGAAAUCCUGUUUACCUGCGUCAAUCAAACAAAUAGAAACUAAAACGCCAUGCACUUGUAUUCUGCUGCGACAAUUAUUCUGGUGUGCUUGCUAGCCGUACCGUUGACCCAUCAGCGCGGCAGAGAUGAAUUUAACGAGAAACCCGCGGCGGAUGCUAUUCAUACUAGAAAUGGGCGCCGUAGAUUGGUGUACAAUCAACACCAUGAAGAAAUAGCCGUUAAAGGUAUGGAUGUUAACU